ensembl:lncRNA
GAUUAAAUAUCUCCUGAGGGCCCUGGAGAGCCUGUGAAACGAUCUCCCAGACCCAGAAGGAGAUCCUGGCACCAACAGGACCUGAGCUGAAAAAUCAAAAGGUGCGGAAUAUAAUCCAAUAACAGAUCCAGCUUAGAAAUCUCAACAGGUAAUGAGACUCACAUCAACAAGCUGCCCAUGGAAGUACUUGAUCCAUUCUGCUCCUUAAGCUGAAAAUCCUACUUGGUCCAGGGACUCACUCCCCUGUGCUUCAGGGACUGAUGGAGCUAAAACCGCCACCCUUUCCUGGCACUCAAUCACAGAAAAUUCUUGAUAGACCCUUGAACUGCAAGGGGAUCCAGUCAGUCAAUCCUAAAGGAAAUCAGUCCUGAAUUGGAAAGACUGAGGCUGAAGCUCCAAUACUUUGGCCACUUGAUGGGAAGAACUAACUCCUUAGAAAAGACCCGAUGCUGGGAAAGACCAAAGGCAAGAAGAGAAGGAGACAACAGAGAAUAAGAUGGUUGAAUGGCAUCACCGACUCGAUGGACAUGAGUAUAUUCCACAAAAUACCUGAGCAGUGUGCUUCAAAACUGUGAAAGUCAACAAAAACAAGAAAAAUCUGAGAAAUUGUCACAGAGCAGAGGAGUCUAAGGAGACAUGAUAGCUAAAUGUAAUGUCAUGUCCUGAAGAGGAUCCUGGAACAGAAAAAGACAUUAGAUUAAACAGUAAGAAAACCUGAAUGAAAGGUGGUGCUUAGUCAAUAAUAAUGAUGUAUCAGUACUCUUCUCUUAAUUGUAACAAACGUGUUCUCCUAGGUAAGAUGUUGAUUGCAGGGGACUUGGGGAAUUGCGUGAUGUGUAGGGUAUACUGGAACACUUGGUUCUCUGUUUACAAUUUCUCUGUAUAUUUCAAACAGUUGUGAAAAAUCAAGUUUAUUUGAAAAUUAUUAUAAAGACUAUCUCAGAACAUCAUUUUGUAACUAUUUGGUCACUAGCCUCUGUAAGUGAAGUGAUUAAAACUUGAAUAUACAUAAAU